GGGUAAGCGAGUGGACGUGCCUUCAGCAUGUCCGUCUCGAUUGGUAAUGGAAAAAGAGAAAAUAGAAACUACCGUAAGUGAUUUGUGGAAGCCAAGGAUAUCCAGAAGAAUGGUGAGUGGACAAGCAUAUGAGCCAACCGUUCCUCAGCAUGACUUCAGAAUGUAAUGCUCCAAUUUGGAUGCGUACUGCGCUUACUUCUGUGCUUAGGCGAAUUCAGUUUCCGACAAGGUAUUCGAGUGGGGCUCCUCUCGUAUCAGCGUCUGGCGGUGAGAGACACUUCAUCUGAUAGAGCCGGCGGUUAUUAUCGGCGACAACAUGGCUCCACCAUUGUUAAAAUUAUAUGAAUUUAUUGUUAAAGAAUUUUAUCUCAAAAAAUGUUGUAAAAUGUAAA